rnacentral:sRNA from 1 species
ACAAGUUUUCCCUCUUGCAGGCAGAGAAAGGAGCCUUGGGAAGGAGCCCCUCUGGCCUGAAAGAUCAAGCCUGUUGCUGGGCAUGGCCAGGCCUCGCCCCACCCGGCCCUGGGGCUGCCCGGUCGCCCCCCUCCCCACCGCAGCCGGUCCCCUCCCUCCCAGUCAGCCUCCGCCGCAGCCCAGGAAGCCAGCCGGGACGCCGCCGCCCCGGACUCCGCGCCCUAACCUCCACCUCGGGGGCCUGCACCCCCAGAUUGAAUCGGGAAUUCCGGAAACCCGAGCCUGGAACCCUGAUCUGGGACCAGCACCCCGAGAUCCGGCCGUGGAACCCCAAGAUCUGGAGCCUGAACCCCAGUAUAUGGGGCUGGAAUCUCAACAUCGGUCACUGGGACCUCAAUAUUUGGAGCCGGAACCCCACAAUUUGGAACACAGACCCCAAUAUUUGGAGCAGAACCCCAAGAUUUGACAUCUAAAACCUCAAGCCUGGAGCUGAACUCUGAAUUCUGGGCCUGGGACCUUGAAAUCUGGG